ensembl:lncRNA
GGAUCCCCGCAGUCCAGCCACGCCAGCGAACACGCCAGUCCCGAGGAGCUGCUUCCGUCUGCGCGCGGGGACCGGCGCUGCCCCGAGGCUCUCGGCGCUGACCGGGAAGGGGCCGCCCGCUCCUGUCCCGGAGAGCAGGCUCCCUCCCGGGCGGAUCCUUUCGGUAAAUUUACAUCGGCUGUUUCUUUCUGCCCGGCCCUGGGUCUCGAAGGGAAAGGAACGGUUUGUUUUCUCUGCUUGCACGAUUUGUUUUAAAGCCGAUCCUUACCCGCUGGGCUCCGCGACCGAACCCUCGGCUCUCUGCCUGCACUCCAAAGAUAAAAAAUAAAAAGGGAUGGAACUUGGAACCUUACACUUGCAAGGCAGGUGCCGGAACCACUCAGGUGCCGAUCAUAAACUACGAGCAAGACACUGAACAAAUAAAAAGCUAACUGUGGCCGGGUAGUCACUAAAAGCAGGCAGAAACUAAAGGGUGGUCUGCCUUAGGGAAAGAGAACUCAGCUGGGAACAGCUAGCAGCCCAGCUGCCCGGGGGACCCCAGGGUCCAGGCCAUGCUGGGCAACUUAGGGAGACCCUGUCUCAAAAUGAAAGAAUGAGGGCCAGGGACUUGGCUCCGUGGCAUCAUGCCUGCCUGGAAAGUGCAGGGUCCUGAGUUCCAUCUCCGGUACAAAAACCCCAAACAAUCAAACCCCCCAAAAUGUAAGAAUGAGGAAGAGGUGCAGGUGGAGCUCAGUGGCUGGGCCGCCCUGGGUUCAGGCUGAAAUGCUACCAAGAAAGACAUGGGAGCAGCUGUGGCCUUGGCCUCACCUUCAGGCCAGGGGUGCAGACAGCUGGGCCGGGGUGGCUGCCAGGACAUGGCUGGGGUGGGGGGAGAAGCUAGGGAAGAGAGGCGAGGUGUGUUGGAAAAGGAGCUCAGACAGAGCCAGUCACAAACUCUGACUAUAAACUUUGCUUCAAAUCCUGGCCUACUUGGUUUUUCUGUUUUGCUUUGGGGUUUUUUUGUGCUUUUGAGACAGGGCCUCCCUAUGUAGUUCCAGCUGGCCUUGAACUCACUAUGUAGCCCAGGCUGGCCUCGAACUUGCAGCAGUCCUGCCUCAGCCUCCCGACUGCUGGGGACAGGACCGGCCCGCAGGCCGAGUGAGCUCAGCGGGCCAUGUGGCAGAAUUCAGUCCGGGGGCACAGAGUAUAAGUCACCAGAUCCCCUCCACACAGGCGAAAUGCAGCAACAGAAAAUGAUCAGGACCGAGCUUCGGGGCAGCUGUUACAACGGCACAUGAGACACUGACAAACCAACAAGGGAAUCUCAGGAGAGAGGCAGAAGUGAUAAAAUACGAGAAUCAAGUGGGAAUCUGCAUGUGAGCAAUGCAACUUGCGGCUGAAAUGAUAAUGAAGGGAUGAGUUCCGUAGCAGAUUGAAGACAGAGUUAGUCAGGGAAGCACCCGCCAGAGAGGAAAGUGAAAGGGCUGCACAGCCAGCGCUGGGCACCAGCAGCCCCGCGACCCUCCAGGAAGGAAACCCUUCACACUUCAGCGGAAUGACACCAGCUGUCACUCAGCUCCCCAGGGAGGGGUGGAGAGCACCGGAAUGGUAAGUAUUUGGCAGACAUUAAAAAAAUACUUCAGGGGCUGGGGAUUUAGCUCAGUGGUUUCCGCACCUGCCUCACAAGCCCAAGGUCCCGAGUUCCAUCCCCGGUACCAAAAAAAAAAAACUUCGCCAGGUGUGCUGGUACACAUCUGUCAUGCCAGCACUGGGGAAGCUGAGGCAGGAGGAUUGAUGCGGGUUUAAGACCAGCCUGGGCUACGUAGUGAGACCCUGUCUCAAACAACAACAAAAGUGAAUAGACACUUCUCAGAAGUACCAAUAGCCAGUAAAUACAUGAAAAAAUGUUCAACAUUGCUGGCCAUUAGAGAAAUGCAAAUUAAAACAACACUGAGAUUUCAUCCUACUCCAGAACGAAUGGCUGUCAUUAAGAAAUCAAAUAAUAACAAAUUCUGGUGAGGCUCUGGAGGAAAAGGAGCCCUUUGACAUUGUUGGUGUAGGUACAAACUGGUAUAACUACUAUGGAAACCUGUAUGGAGAUUCCUCAAAAAACUAAAAGUAGAAAUUUCAUUUGAUCCAGCUAUUCCCCUUCUAGGUAUCUUUACCUCUUCCAAAAGAGGUAAAGACAUCAUAUUACAGUGAUACAUGCAUACCCAUGUUUAUAGCAGCAUAAUUCAAUAACCAUAUCUUGGAACCAGCCUGUAUGUCCAUCAGCAGAUGAAUGGAUAAAGAAAAUGUGGUGUUUAUACACCAUGGAGUACUACUCUGCCACAAAGAAGGAUAGACAUGUCAUUUGUAGGAAAAUGGAUGCAUCUCAAGACCGUAAUGUUAAGUGAAGUAAAUCAGAUACACAUGCUUAAAUAUCACAUGGUUUCUCUUACAUGAGAAAUAUGAAAUAUAAAUAAAGAACAAAACAAAUGAUAGAUAAUAGGAGGUAGGGACAUAGAUCUUUCACAGAAGGGAAGAGCCCCAAGAGAUGGAGUAGAGGGAGGAGUAGGAAAGAGGAUGAAGAAAGAAGUAAGAUGUGCAAGGUACAUGGGCCGACACCGGGAAUGUGAUCAUCAUGUACUGUAAACACGGACUGAUAAAAAAUAAAAAUG